AACUAACGCUGGCGGCGUGAAUUAGGCAUGCAAGUCGAACGAUCUAACCCGUUAAGCACUUGUUCUUCUAUAAGUGUGGGUUUGAUAGUGGCGCAAGGGUGAGUAUCACGUGGGUAACAUGCCCUGAAGACGAGGAUAACUCUGCGAAAGCGGAGCUAAUACAGGAUGUGAACAGAUCCAGGCAUCUGGGACUGUUCAAAGCUAGGGACCGAAAGGCCUGGCGCUUCAGGAUUGGCCCACGCCUUAUUAGUUAGUUGGUGGGUAACGGCCCACCAAGACUAUGAUGAGUAGCCGACCUGAGAGGGUGUACGGCCACACUGGGACUGAGACACUGCCCAGACUCCUACGGGAGGCUGCAGUCGUGAAUCUUUCGCAAGUGGG
rnacentral:rRNA from 1 species